rnacentral:rRNA from 1 species
UGGGGAAUAUUGCACAAUGGGGGAAACCCUGAUGCAGCGACGCCGCGUGAGUGAAGAAAUAUUUCGGUAUGUAAAGCUCUAUCAGCAGGGAAGAAAAUGACGGUACCUGAGUAAGAAGCCCCGGCUAACUACGUGCCAGCAGCCGCGGUAAUACGUAGGGGGCAAGCGUUAUCCGGAUUUACUGGGUGUAAAGGGAGCGUAGACGGCAGCGCAAGUCUGAAGUGAAAUCCCACAGCUUAACUGUGGAACUGCUUUGGAAACUGAGCAGCUAGAGUGCAGGAGGGGCAGGCGGAAUUCCUAGUGUAGCGGUGAAAUGCGUAGAUAUUAGGAGGAACACCGGUGGCGAAGGCGGCCUGCUGGACUGUAACUGACGUUGAGGCUCGAAAGCGUGGGGAGCAAACAGG